GAAACCAAGAGUGGGUUGGGCC
rnacentral:miRNA from 1 species